AUUGAACGCUGGCGGCAGGCCUAACACAUGCAAGUCGAACGGUAACAGGAAGAAGCUUGCUUCUUUGCUGACGAGUGGCGGACGGGUGAGUAAUGUCUGGGAAACUGCCUGAUGGAGGGGGAUAACUACUGGAAACGGUAGCUAAUACCGCAUAACGUCGCAAGACCAAAGAGGGGGACCUUCGGGCCUCUUGCCAUCGGAUGUGCCCAGAUGGGAUUAGCUAGUAGGUGGGGUAACGGCUCACCUAGGCGACGAUCCCUAGCUGGUCUGAGAGGAUGACCAGCCACACUGGAACUGAGACACGGUCCAGACUCCUACGGGAGGCAGCAGUGGGGAAUAUUGCACAAUGGGCGCAAGCCUGAUGCAGCCAUGCCGCGUGUAUGAAGAAGGCCUCGGGUUGUAAAGUACGUUU
rnacentral:rRNA from 1 species